UUGUGUUAAUAAUAAACUAUACCUAGGUAUAUUUUUUGAUUGUUUAUUUAGAAAUAUUACAUAUUAAACCCAAAACAUUUUUGGCAAUAUUUUCCCGAAAAUAUGGUAUAAACAAAUUAGUUGGUGAUCGAGUAGCCAUCAUCAUACAUAAUUGCCCCACCAUAAAAAAUUUCUGGCGCCGCCACUGAAUAUAUUUUAAUGAAUAAUGACAAUCGCUGAACACAAACGUAACGUAGUUGUGCCAUAUGUCCCGGUUUGGUCGGGACUCAAGACUCGACCUAUAGCUGUUUUGAAUAUAGCGUCGCUAAUAUAGGUGUUUUGGGUCGGCCAUGCAGUUGUCACGGAAUAAGGUAAACUUCCGAAAUUAAAUGAAAGGAUGCAGGAUGUGACCCGGUGACCAGGGCUGUCUUUAGGGGAGGGCGAGCAGAGCCCAGGGCCUUGCGCAUUUUGCUCAAAUUUGGGACCUCGCGUUUGAAAAAAGUAAUCUGCAAUUAUAUGAUGCAGCGGACCACGUCGUCCCGAUCUACCAGUAAUUUGAAUGAAUAUAAUUUACUAGAUGUAAUAAACGCCAAUGCACCACAUUAAAAUAUUUGUGACUAUUUUAUUUUGUUAGCUGUAACUUUUUUAGUCGUAUUGAAAUGCAUUUAAAUUAUUAUUUUGUAUACCUAAACAUAAUAUGGUAUUCACAUAUGCGUAGGUACUAACGACAAAAAUGGCUUCUGGUUAAAAAUUAAAAUACAUACUUUUAAACUUAAAUUGUUUAAUGAUAUUUGUAUUUGAUAUUCAUUAUGGUUGUAUGUAGGUAUAUAUUAUAUAAAUAAAAAACUAAUGCACCGAGACCUCAUUGUUAGGCGAAUCAAUUAUUCAUGAAGAUAUAUAACUAAUAUUUUUUUUACUAAACUCGUCUAACCUUUUUUUUAUUAUUGUUAAACUUAAAAUGUGUCAGCAUAAUAUAACAUGCUAUUACGAUGUAUGAGUCUUAAAAUCUAAUUACAAGGAUAAUGAUAUUUACAUAUUUUAUUAAUUACAAUUAAGUAUUUUUAUUAAUAGUUAAAAUAUUAAGUUUAAUCGUCGUCUGCACUGACAUCUAAUACAGGAGAAGAUCUUGAGGUAAAUGGUAAUCGUGGUUUUAAACGUCGGUUUUUUAUUUUAGUUCCCGGGUUAUAGAAUCGUACUCCGUCAGUUUUUGAUAUCGAUAUGGAAAAACUUAACCUUAUUGUUGGAACAUACCAGAUCUACAGUUUCAUUUAAUUGGGACAUUGAGUUAGGGGUAACGCAAGUACAAUUAAGAGACAAAUAUUUACAUUCUUAUUACUAAUAAUUUUUAUAAUAUCUAUUCGAUUAAAAUUUAAAAAUUCACUUAUACGGUUACAGAAAUGAUGAAAAAUGGA